GUGGUAUAUGGACUUUUCCCUUUAUUUGGGAAGUUGUUCAGGUUCUCUUUUGUAAAUACGGACUGGAAUUGGUCGUUAAGGAUAUUAGCUUUGCUUUUGUUGUCGCUUUGGAGGAAUCCCAUUUUGUUCUUCAAUGGUGCUACUCCUGUCCAUUCCUGACCUUUGCUUUUAAUAUAGGACCAGAAUUUCUUGGAGUUGUCCUUGUAGUUGGAGCUGACUUCUUCCAUGUAUUUCUUAUUGGCUUGUCGUAUUUCCCAUUGUACUUCUUGUCGUAGUCUCUUGUAUCUGUCUUGGUCUCUUUUCUUUUUGGUUUUCCUAGCUUUCUUGUGCGCUUUUUGUUUUUGGUUGAUCUUGCGUCUUAUUGCUGUGUUCAUCCAUGGGUGUGUGUCUACCUUGAGUCAUUUUUGUUGGUACUCGCUUCUCAAUGGUUUUUUGAAUUUCUGAUUUGAAGCUUUGCCACAUGGAUUCUACAGUUCUGUUGCAGGUGCUUUUAAAAGAUGUCUUGAAUGUUUCGAGGUCUUCCUUUAUCUUAUAUAUAUCUGCUUUUUUCCACAGGUAUAUCUUUCUUUUAACUGGUUUGGGUUUUAAAGGUUUACAUGCUAUAUCAAGUAAGACGAUGUCAUGGUCGCUGUUUCCUAUUGAUGGUAAUGGUUUACAUCUUAGUUUGAAUGAUGGAUGAGAGGUAAGUAUUAAAUCCAAGGUGUUUUCUUUGCGUGUUGGGAAAUCUACGAUUUGUUCUAACCACCAUAUCAGCUACAGGUGUCUAAAAAAGCUUGACUGGUUCUUGUGGGGUACUGUCUAUUUGUGAUGGUCUGUUCUUGCCAAUUUAUAUCUGGUAGGUUGAAGUCGCCUCCAAUCAAGAAGAUGUUUUUUUGAUGUUUUGAUUUGAUGGUACUUAUUUCCUCUUUAACUGUAUUAAGGUAGGUGUCAUCUGUUUUAUCUGGAGGGCGAUAAAAUGCACCAAUAAGCAUUUUCUUUUUUCCUUCUAAGGCGAUUGUACCAGUUAAUAGUUCUAUCUCACCGCUUUUUGUUAUGUUCCCUAGUUGUAAUGUUUGUUUGGCUGCUAUCAAAACUCCCCCAUGUGGGUCUUUGGGACGAUCCCUUCGUUCGAUAUCAUAUUUAAGGUAAUCAGGAAAAAUUUCACUUGAUUUAAUGUUUGGAUCUAGCCAUGUUUCUGUGCCUAUUAUUAUGUCCGGAUCAGUUGACUCUAUAAUUGCCUCCAGAAGUUUACCCUUUUUUCUUAGACUCUGGAAGUUGAUGUUCAGCAGUCUUAGUUGUUUCUUAGGGGUUGGUUUCGUUUUGGCUGGUUUAGGUGAUGAUGUCAUGAUCGGUAUAUCUGUACUGAAUGAUGUUGUGUUGAAAGAUGGUGAGUUAAUGCUUGAUCCUGAUGUUGAUGGUAUGGAUGAAUCUGAUAUACUGUCUAGCAAUAACGGAUUAGUAGAUAUAUUAAGGGAGGUAUGUUUGCUGUCGUCUCCACUUGGUAUAAAGUAUACUUUUGUCGAAGAGUUGUUGGGUUUUGAGCAUGAUGGACAUGUCCAUGUGUCUUCGCUCUUGCCUAGAUUGCUGAAUUCUGUUGUAGACAUUCCAAUGCAAUUUCUGUGUGUCCAUUUGUCACAGUCGUCACAGGCUAUUGAUUCUAAUUUGCAUGCUUU
rnacentral:lncRNA from 1 species